rnacentral:rRNA from 1 species
ACGGCUCAGUAACACGUGGCUAAUCUGCCCUUAGGACGAGAACAACCCCGGGAAACUGGGGCUAACUCUUGAUAGGUGAAGAACUCUGGAAUGAGUCUUUGCCUAAAAAGAUUCACGUUAUCCUCGUGAAUUUGCCUAAGGAUGAGGCCGCGACCGAUCAGGUUGUUGGCGAGGUAAUGGCUCACCAAGCCUUUUACCGGUGCGGGCCGUGGGAGCGGGAGCCCGGAGAUGGGUACUGAGACAAGGACCCAGGCCCUACGGGGCGCAGCAGUCGCGAAACCUUUGCAAUAAGCGAAAGCUUGACAGGGCUAUCCCGAGUGCCAUCCGCUGAGGAAGGCUUUUACCCAGUCUAGAACGCUGGGGGAAUAAGGAGAGGGCAAGUCUGGUGUCAGCCGCCGCGGUAAUACCAGCUCUCCGAGUGGUGUGGAUGUUUAUUGGGCCUAAAGCAUCCGUAGCUGGCUAGGUAAGUCCCUUGUUAAAUCCACCGAAUUAAUCGUUGGAUCGCGGGGGAUACUGCUUGGCUAGGGGACGAGAGAGGCAGACGGUAUUUUCGGGGUAGGGGUGAAAUCCUAUAAUCCCGGGAAGACCACCAGUGGCGAAGGCUGUCUGCUAGAACGCGCCCGACGGUGAGGGAUGAAAGCUGGGGGAGCGAACCGGAUUAGAUACCCGGGUAGUCCCAGCUGUAAACGAUGCAGACUAGGUGUUUGAACGGCCACGUGCCGUUCUAGUGCCGCAGGGAAGCUGUUAAGUCUGCCGCCUGGGGAGUACGAUCGCAAGAUUGAAACUUAAAGGAAUUGGCGGGGGAGCAC